rnacentral:rRNA from 1 species
CCCUUAGAUGUUCGGGGCCGCACGCGCGCUACACUGAAUGAAUCAGCGAGUGUAUGUCCUAGGCCGAAAGGUCCGGGUAACCCGUUGAACCUCAUUCGUGAUUGGGAUAGGGACUUGCAAUUGUUUCCCUUGAACGAGGAAUUCCCAGUAAGCGCAAGUCAUCAGCUUGCGUUGAUUACGUCCCUGCCCUUUGUACACACCGCCCGUCGCUACUACCGAUUGAAUGGUCCGGUGAAGCCUCGGGAUUGUGGUUCUUGCCGCUUUAUUGUGGCGUGACCGCGAGAACUUGUCUAAACCUUAUCAUCUAGAGGAAGGUGAAGUCGUAACA